rnacentral:lncRNA from 1 species
UGUGCAAGGGGAGUGUUGGUGAGAGUUUAGAGAGUCCAGAUUUCAAAGGGUGCCAGAAAAAAUGCAUGAAGAGAAAUAGUUCCUUCCAAAGAGGACCCUUGGGAGGAAAGUCCUACUUUUUAGGGAGUCCUAAAGAGGGAGAGAUCUAGAUAUAGAAACAAUUAUUAAAAAUAAAAAUCAUACUAGUUUGGAGAGUCACACAUUCCAAAUUCUAGAGGCCCAAUUCUUCUUUUGAAAAAACACAUGACUUUGGGAUUUGGGAUUCACAGGGUGAAGGUAAGGGUUCAAAUUUAUGAAUUGAGUAGCAACAAAAUCCUGAUUGAGCUCAACUUAGAUUUAAGUUCAAUUGUUAUUUUUAAUACCGACUAAAAGGCUUAUGAGCUUAGGUAAUUAUGUAUACUUUUAAUACUCCAUAUCUUAUAUGCUUUGUUCUCACUAUAUUUUUUAAUUAUGGCCA